AUUGAACGCUGGCGGCAUGCUUUACACAUGCAAGUCGAGCGGGGUUUUCGGACCUAGCGGCGGACGGGUGAGUAAUGCGUAGGAAGCUGCCCGAUAGAGGGGGAUACCAGUUGGAAACGACUGUUAAUACCGCAUAAUGUCUACGGACCAAAGUGUGGGACCUUCGGGCCACAUGCUAUCGGAUGCGCCUACGUGGGAUUAGCUAGUUGGUGAGGUAAUGGCUCACCAAGGCGACGAUCUCUAGCUGGUUUGAGAGGAUGAUCAGCCACAAUGAAACUGAGACACGGUCCAGACUCCUACGGGAGGCAGCAGUGGGGAAUAUUGGACAAUGGGCGCAAGCCUGAUCCAGCCAUGCCGCGUGUGUGAAGAAGGCCUUCGGGUUGUAAAGCACUUUCAGCGAGGAGGAAGGGUGAUGUGUUAAUAGCACAUCAUUUUGACGUUACUCGCAGAAGAAGCACCGGCUAACUCUGUGCCAGCAGCCGCAGUAAUAC
rnacentral:rRNA from 1 species